AGUGGGCACACAAUAGGCAGUCGAUAUGGUCUCUGAUAAAACUAACAUCUGGCUGUGGGUGGGGUCAGUACGUCCACUCCUCAGGAGUGUGGCUGAUGCAUCUAUCACAGUUGCAUAAGUUUGAAGCAUCAACAGAAGAAUGGAUUGGAUGGUUGAUGUCAGGAGGCUCUGUACUAUGGCAGCCAAUAUGGUAGGCUCACUGCUCUAUGUUCAUAACAUGUGAACUGGGGCCUCUCCAAGUCAUCAUCAUAAGUAUGGGC
rnacentral:lncRNA from 1 species